AAACAUUUCUAUUAGAAAUAAUUAAUAGUAUGAUCUGCUCAAUGAAUUAAAUAAAUAGCCGCAAUACGUGCUAAGGUAGUAUAAUAAUUUGUCUUUUAAUUUGAGACCAAACGAAAGAUUUAACAUUUAAAUUUAUCUAAAUAUUUAAAAUAUUUAAAUUAUUUUAAUUUUUAAAAAAACAUUAUAAAAAAAAAAGACGACAAGACCCUAUUGAACUUAACUUUAGUUUAACUGGGGUAGUUAAUUAAUUAUUAACUUAAUAUAAUUUAUAAGUAACAUGACCUAAUAAAAUUAAUUUUUUAAUUAAGUUACCGUAGGGAUAACAGUGUAAUUAGUUUUUUCAGGUCUUAUUUUAAAAAUAGAUUGCAACCCCGAUGUUGAAUUAAUAAUCUAAUUUAUGUAGCAGUAAGUAAAGAAAGUCUGUUCGACUUUUAAAUAAUUACAUGAUCU
rnacentral:rRNA from 1 species